GCGAGUGUAGCCAAGUGGUUAAGGCAGCGGUUUGUGGUACCGCCAUUCGGGGGUUCGAGUCCCCUCAUUCGCCC
rnacentral:tRNA from 1 species